ensembl:lncRNA
ACCAAGGCCAUCAGACACAACAACUUAUUUAAAAAUUAAUUCCAAGGAUGUCGCAAGAGGAGCCCAGAGGAUUUUAUGCACCUGUUUUUUGUUCCAGUGUCAAGCUAUUUCAAAAAUAAAACCCCACUAUGACGCAGUGAGGGUUACAGAUGGCAACGUAGAGGUACAGAGAAUUUGUGGCGUGGGCCCGGGCCACGGCGGAGGCUGUUAGGCUCCCCACAAAAGAAAAAAACAAAACAAAACCAAGAGGAAGCUACGGGAAAUACAGAAGAGGAGAACUAAGUGACGAAGGUGAAGUUGAGGCCAGGUAGAAGCUACGCGUGGGCAGACUUGGCUACAAGUUACAGCUAGCGGAUUGGACACAGGGUCUCGGAGCGCAGCAUCAGGAAACAAACAUGACAGAGAGGCAAGCUGGAGGCACAGAAAGAAAAGAAAAGAAAUACUGCUUUCAAGGGGGAAGCUUAGAAAAGGGGAGAC